CUUACAUUGUAAAAUAUCUUAUAUGACUGUGCAGGGCAUCACCAACAGCUCUCGGGUAACAUGUUCAUGUUCAUUAACAGGACAGCACAAGGCACAAAAAGUCAUCUACAGAGACUUCAAGUGCUUCAAACAGUUUUUUUUUUUUUGCCUUCUUUUGGAUCAACAGCAAAAAACAAAUGUGAGGAAGGCUGAACUUGAUGGACGCAAGUCUCUUUUCAGCUAUGUAACUAUGUAGAAAUGGCAUUAUGCUUAUGACAGAGGAAAAUGUUUCCUUACAUUAAGAAGACUUCAGAUGUGGAAUUCUUUGCCACAAGGAGUUGUUUUAUAAAACACUGUUGAGAUUGUUAAAGGAAAACUACAGGGACAGGAACACAAACAUGUAUCCCUGAGGCCUCUGGGCCCCUCUUACCGCCUAAAUAUAGUAAAAUCUUACUGUUAUUGCAGUCUGCUGCUGCUGGCUCUGCCCCUGAUCUGGCUGCUUGGCUGACAUCAUCAGAAGUGUUGACCUGAGUAAACCUGAGUUGAC